GGGCGGGUGGGGGCCGAUCCCGCGGGGCUCAUAACCCCGAGGUCGGAGGUUCAAAUCCUCCCCCCGCUA
rnacentral:tRNA from 1 species